UCCAGCACUUGUCUCUUCCCUAGAAGAAUAGGCGCUCCAAAACGGUUUCCAGAAUAGCAAGAGACUAUUUUGGUGACAACAGUAUUUUAAUUAUUGUAAAACACUUCCAAGUACUGUAUAGCAGAUUCCUAGAAAAUAUUGGUGUUUUCCCCCUGGAUCCAUUUUAGAAGAUAUAUCGGUUUUCAACAUUUAACAGUAGGCUCGUAUUUUAAAGAAAACCUUACAUUUCUAUUUCAGGACCAUCUUUCUGCAUCCCAGAUUUUUCACCUCCUACCUCUGUAGCUGCCAUUGAAAGAUGAGACUGAGUUUAGCCUGGUAAUUCUGGGGCUGCAAUGAUGCAUCACCUCAUUGAAGAUGCUGUUAUGUUCAGCAGACUGUGCUUAGCAAAGAAAUAACUCUUAUGGAUCCAUAGCAGCCAGUGACAGAUCAUGGACAUGGUUUCUGGUGCCAACAUGGACCACAGAUUCCAACAUAGACUCUGGUGGCAGCACAGACCACAGAAGUCUUUCGAGGGGACUUGAUCCAGAAAAUGAGCCUUUGUCUUCAUCUUCAUUUCAGGAUCUGCAUAUUGUUUGAUGCCUUUGCAGACAUAAUCUCAGAGCUCAUGUAUGACCCACUUCCAUGCAGGUAUCUGAUAAUAUUGAUGUGACUUCUCAAGCUAGAAGGAACAAUAACCCUGUGCCAUAUGGAAAUGUGAAUGGGACUGACUGACCUUGUGCUGAUGGAAGAGCAGAACAAUUGCUUCAAAGUGGCUUAGCAGAAGAGUUAUGGAGUCUAAGAGCCUAAUGUUUAUUUAUCUAUUAUAAUGCAUUAGACACUGUACUAAGCUUAAUUACUCCAUGUCCUCUAAGCCUGCUGCAAACAAGUAAAAUAGGUAAUUUUACUGAUAAUGAACUCUGAAUGGAAGCGCUUAGGUCACUUGUCCAAGGUAGCAUAGCCUUAUAGUAAGGCAAAAUGAGACUCAACCAAGGUCCAUGAUGCUCUUAAAUCCAUUGCUAUUUCUUCUUGGUUUAUUUUGGUUUUGAGGAAGAGUCUUUUUGUGGCUAUCCUAGAAUUUGUGAUUCUCCUGCCUCAGCCUCUCAAAUAUGGGCGUUAUAGGUGUGUACCACAUUGACAACUCAUAUCCCUAUCCUGUUAUACUAUACUUUCCUAUAGGAUAUCAUUGUGCAAACUUAACACUUCUUUUAAAUGACAGUACCUUGUGGGAAUAGCCAUUUUUAUAUCAAACAAUACAAUUGACUAUGUGUUGCAUAUAAUUUAAUCCACAUAUAGAGCAAAUAACUAGGCUUUUCAACAACUUCUAAUUUGUCAGCCCUUCAGUCCUAUGCAAACAUUAGAGUCUUCCAUGCUUACUUGAUGUAAAAAGUAAUAGGUUAAGGGUCUUUCUCAACUUUAUAUGCUCAGUUUGCAACCAGAAUGGUGAUGGCGUUUUCAUCUUUCAAUGUGCAAUCAGAAUACUGGCAGAAAACCACAGCAGAUGCUUGGAUAACAGAGCAGGACUAUCAGGCUUGGUUUUAAUGUAUUGUUUAUAUCCAUGAGCAAGUUUCCAUGAAGAUUUUAUCUUGAGCUGUUAACAGGAAAUGCUGUCACAGUAGAGGGCUAAUGAACUCACUAGUACUACAGCAGACAGAACAGACAAGUAACCUUCACUUAGCUACUUAAGAAAACACCGACAAAAGCCCACAUAUAAUCAAUUUGCAAGUAACUUGAACACAAGAAGGUGCUUAGUGGAUAAUGGCUAAUCUGUUCUACUUAAAAACAAAUCCUCUUAAGUUAAUCUAAUAUGGUGGAUCAAGGAGAAAUGAUGGAUGUCCUCUAUCAUGAUUACAGCAAUACUUUGAUUAUCUCUGUGUUACAACCAUUAACAACAAAACUGACCCACAACACACAGCUGACUGGAUUAUAGCUCCGAGUGACAUCAAACACCUGCUUGGAAAUCUCAGCUGCUCUGUAUCUAAAAUGUCACAUACAACAUACAAAUGCAUAUUGUAUACACCCAUACACAUACACAGAAACACGUAGAUAAUGUGUAUCUAUGUGUAAAUAAUACAUAUAGAUAUAUUUGAACUUUCGUGCUGUGCAUUUCUAACAGAAUUUUGGCAUCAUAUUAAAUUAUUUAAAGUCCUGAGUGCUAUACAUGGGGAAGAUAAUAGUUGUCAGGAGUUCCACAUGACAGUAAUGAAAAUUAAUAAAAUGCUGGAAAAUAUUUCUAGGAACAGAAGUUAAGGAUUCCAGGAUAAUUCAAUCUGGAUAAAGCAGUAGCAUCAUUUAAUAUCCUUGUUCCACUACUUUUCCCUGAUGCCAUGACCAACAAGCAAUUUGGCCAUAUAACUAUCCAAGCAAGUCGAUAAGGCUUUAAAGAUCCAGCUUCUCUGCCAGAGCCCAGCUCCUACCAGUCGAAGAGUUCUUGGGGGAAAAGUGAGGAGUGAGGAAGUAUUAGAAAUAUAGAUGGAGAUGGCGAGAAAGACAGAGACACAGGAUAGCUUCAGGAGGGCCUUUUGUCAAUACCCAGCCACCCCAAAUUUAAUCAUGAUAGGCUUUUUAUACAUCAGCAAGGGAGGCUCAAAAGACCUCCCCCUUUCAAGGUCGAGGUAUAAAGUACUAACAAGUGUAAACCCUUCAAAACACCUGGUAACCACACCCUUGGCCAAAUCAUCCCAUUAUGCAGCCCUGCUGGGCAAAGCAAGCUCAGACUUUCUGACCUUGAGUAAGACUUUACUAGGGAACCUCUGUGGAGCCCCACACUUCUCCCAUAAACAAAUUGGUUCAGUUUUGAUCGUUAAUAGAGACAUUCUUUUUUUGUUGAUGUUGUCUGUCUGUUUGUUUGUUGGGCAGAGUAUCACAUAACCUAAACUGGACUCGAACUCAUUAUUCCCUGUAGUUGAGGCUGGCCUUAAAUUCUUUUUUUUUCUCUUUUGGCCUUAAGUUCUUGACCUUUCUGCUUUAUGUUAGGGGGCACAGUAAAGAAACUAAGUGCCCUGAGCAGGGAAACACAUAGGUUAACUACAGAUCUUUGCUGUUCUCCAAAUCCAACCCAACAGAUUCAUGCCCAGCUCUGUAGCAGACCACCAGCUAUGGCUUCCUUCUCCAACCCUGCCAUCAUCUCCAGUGGAUCACACAGAUCUUCCCCUCCCAGGAGCCCUCCCUUGAUUCAUUGCUUUAACCCAGACCCCAACUCCAGCAGUCAUUCCCUGGAAACCUCCAGGCCACUUCAGUCAGGGAAGCAGGUACACUAACUACAGAUCUUCACCUCUUAAUCUGCUCCUCCAAAUUCAACGCCCGUAGUCUUAUUCCCAACUCUUCAGUAGAAUAGCUGCUGCAGACUCCCGUCCCCUCCUGCCACCACCAUCAGUGGAACACACAGAUCUCCAUCUCUUAAUCUUUCCCCUGCCACUCAUGGCAUUAUCCCAGCCCCUAACUCCAACAGGCACUUCCUGGGAACCCACAGGUCACACUGACCAGAGAAACGGGUAUGAUAACUGCAUCUCUCCAGCUCUCUCUCUGGUCCUUCAAAGUUACGCCCCCGAGUCUCAUCCCCAGCUCUGUAGCAGACUACCAGCUGCAGCCACUUCCACUGCCAGCCCCCAUUUCCAGGGCAUCACUGAGAUCUUACCCUCUUAACUUGCCUCCCCCCACUCAUUUCUUUAUCCCAGACUACAGCUCCAGCAAGCACUCCCUGGGAACCCACAGGCCACUCUGACCAGGGAAGCAAGUGAGGUAAUUGCAGAUCCUCAUCUCUUCCUUCAUUCUUCCAAGUUUAAUCCCCAAGUCUCAUCAACAGCUCUGAGGUAGACUUUCCGCUGUGGCCUCCCCUGACCCUCAGCCACCAUUUCCAGGUGACUGAGAAGAUCCUCGUAGAAGAACCUGCUUCUGCCCUUCCUGUGUCUCUCCUCAGCCCUCCUCUAGCCAAUCCCCCUUCCUGUGUGUUACGGAAACUGGGCAACUCUCGACUGAAUGAAAAAUGGGUCAAGACAAAUUACAGACUUUCUAGAAUUGAAUGAAACUGCAUAUAAAACAUAUCCAAGCUUGUGGGACACAAUGCAGGUGGUUCUAAGAGGCAAGUUCAUAGCACUAAGUACCUACAUUAAAAAAUAAAAAUGGGAGAGAUCUCAUACUAGCAACUUAAAGCAUACCUAAAAUCUCUGGAAUAAGAAGAAAUCACACCAAAAAGGAGUAGAUGACAAGAAAUAACCGAACUCAGGGUUGAAACCAAUGAAAUAGAAACAAAGACAAUAAUACAAAAAUCAAAGAAACAAAGUUGGUUCUUUGAAAAGAUCAAUAAGAUUGACAAACUCUUAUCCAAAUUAAUUGAAAGGCAAAGAGAAUAUUCAAAUUAACAAAAUUAGAAAUGAAAAGGGAAACAUACAACAGACAUUGAGGAAAUCCAGAUAAUAAUAAGGACAUACUUUAAAAGCCUGUACUACACCAAAUUCAAAAAUCUAAAAGAAACUGAUAGUGAUCUAAAUACAUAUCACUUAUUAAAGUUAAAUUACGAUCAGAUAAGCAACUGACACAGGCAUAUAACCCUUAGUGAAAGAAAAGUGGUCAUUAAAAUUCUCUCAACCAAAAAAAGCCCAGGUCCAGAUGGUUUUAGGGAAGAAUUCUACCAGACAUUAAAAGAGAGUUAAUGCCAAUAUUCCAGAAAUUAUUUCACCAAAUAGAAACAGAAGGAACAUAGACCAAAUCAUUUUACAAGGUCACAGUUACCCAAGCCACAUGAACACCUAAUAAUACAAGAGAAUUACAGACCCAUUUCCCUUAUGAAUAUAGACAAAAAAUUCUCAAUAAAAUACUUUGAAACUGAAUCCAAUAACACAUCAAAAAGGUCAUCAAUCAUGAUCAAGUAGGUUUUAUCCCAGAGAUUCAGGGAUGGCUCGACAUAUGUAAGGAGAUAAAUGUGAUCCAAAAUAUAACAAACUGAAAGAUUAAAAACCACAUGAUCAUCUCAUUAGAUACAUAAAAGGCCUUUGACAAAACCCAACACUGCUUCAUGAUAAAAGUCCUGGAGAUAUUACAGAUACAAGAGAUAUACCUCAACAUAAUAAAAUCAGUUUACAGCAGGUCGAUAGCCAACACUAAUUAAAUGGAGAGAAACUCAAAGCAAUUCCACUAACAUCAAGAACAAGACAAGGUUGUUGUGGUGGUUUGAAAGAAAAUGGCCCCAAAAGGCUCAUAGGGAGUGGCACUAUUAGGAGGUGUGGCCUUGUUGGAGUAGGUGAAAUAUUGUUGGAGGAAGUGUAUCACUAGGGGCAGGCUUUGAGGUCUCAGAUGCUCAAGCUUGGCCAUUGUGUCUUAGUCUUUUCCUGCUUCUUUAGGAUCAAGAUGUAGAAGUCUCCUUUUCUAGCACCAUGUCUGGGCACAUGCCACCAUGCUUCCCAUCAUGAUGAUAAUAGACUAAACCUCUGGACUAUAAGCUAGUGCCAAUUAAUUGUUUCCUUUAUAAGAAUUGCCAUGGUCAUAGUGUCUCUUUACAGCAAUAAAACCUUAAGACAGAAGUUGGUACCAGGAGUGGGGCAUUGCUAUGACAGACAUGACCAUAUUUUUGUUUGGAGCAAUGUGGACUUUGGAUUAGAAAAUCAGCUGAAUGCUUUAAACAGAAUUUAAUGGAGCAUGGAAGAUAAUGGUGCUGAGUGUGAUUUGAACUGUGGGGGCCCAGCUCAAGAAAUUUCAGAGGAGAAUAUUAAUAUGUGGCCUAGAGACCUUUCUUGUGAUAUUUUGGCAAAGGACAUGGCUGCUUUCUUCCCUUGUCUACAAAAAAUCUGCUUCAGGCUAAAUUAAAGAGUUAUAGAUUAAUAGCUUUAGCAGAAGACAUUUCAAAACAACAUAGCAAUCACUACGUUAUCCUGGUUAUUAGUGUUCACUCUUAUGUGGACCUAUAUUAAAAAAGAGCAAGUUAAAAAAUAUACGGGAAAGGGGCACCAGGAAGUGGAAUGCAGCUAAGUAUUCAAGGAGAUAAAUGGAUUAAAGAAAAUCCAGUUGUUAAAUGGAAUACAGUGAGUGGUGCCCUCAGGGCAAGAGCCAAAUCAGCUAAGCAUCCAUUUGUGAAAAGGAAUUAAAGAAAAGUUUAGAGCUGGGUGUGGUGAUGUAUACCUUUAAUCCCAGCACUUGGAAAGCAGAGGCAGGUGAAUUUCUGGGUUUGAGACCAGCCUGCUCUACAGAUCAAGUUUCAAGACAGCCAAGGUUAGACAGCAAAAGAAACCAUCAAAAAUAGAAGGUUGGUGAAAAUGUACUUAAAUGAGGAGGCCAUGUUCCAGACCCAGCAAGCAGCAGAACUUGGCAGUUUUGGCUAUGUGUUUUUGGCUUUAGAAUCAAGGAUACAUUAAAGGGGUUAUGGAAUCUCCCUCCACAACUAAGGAAAGCUAAAGAGGCCAGAUGUCAGGGGUGUCUUUGCAUGGAGUCCUAGAGAGGCCAUUUUAUGAAGCUGUGAAGGUGAAGCCUGGAUUGCCUUGGAGACCCCAAGAUGUUGGAGAUGCCAGAGUCAUGGGAUACCUGCCAAGUAGAGCAGCUAACAGAGAACUGACCCAGCCCAAGAGAAAGAAGUGUAUUACAGUCAAAAAAGCAUAAAGGAGUUGGAGUUCUGAAGAGACCUUUGACAUCAAACAUGGAGAUGCAGAGUUUGCCCAGCUGGUGUUUGGUCUUGCUUUGGUCUGGUAUUUCCUCAUUAUUUUUCCUUUCCUCCCUUUUGGACCAGUAAUGUAUAUCUUGUGCAAUUGUAUUUUAGAAGUAUAUGAUCUGUUUUUUCGUUUUGGUUUUAUAGGGCAUUAUAGUUAAAACAUUGGAUGAACCUCAGAAGAGACUUUAAACUUUGGACUUUUACAGGAUUGAGACUGUUACAGACUAUGGGGACUUUAAAACUUGGAUUUAAUGCAUUUCUGCAUUAUAAUAGGCUACAAGCAUAUGGGGACCAGGGAGUGGAAUGUGGUGGUUUGAAAGAAAAUGGUCCCCAUAGGCCCAUAGGGUAUGGCACUAAUUGGAGGUAUGGCCUUGUUGGAGCAGGUGAGGUGUUGUUGGAGGAAAUGUUUCACUCGGGGGCAGGCUUUAAGGUUUCAGAUGCUCAAGCUUGGCCAGUGUGUCUUGGUCUCUUCCUGAUGCCUGCAGAUCAAGAUGUAGAACUCUCAGCACCUUCUCCAGCACUAUGUCUUCCUGCAUACCUCCAUGCUUCCUGACAUGAAAAUAAUAGACUAAACCUCUGAAUUGUAAGCCAGCUCCAAUUAAAUCUUUUCCUUUGUAAGUGUUGCCAUCACCAUUGUAUCUCUUCACAGCAAUAAAACCCCAAUUAAGACAUUG